rnacentral:rRNA from 1 species
GAUGAACGCUAGCGGCAGGCCUAAUACAUGCAAGUCGAACGGUGUCUUCGGACAUAGUGGCGCACGGGUGCGUAACACGUAUGCAACCUACCUUACAUUGGGGGAUAGCCUUUCGAAAGGGAGAUUAAUACCGCAUAAGACAGUAGCUGGGCAUCCAGCAGCUGUUAAAGAUUUAUCGAUGUAAGCUGGGCAUGCGUCCAAUUAGCUAGUUGGUGAGGUAACGGCUCACCAAGGCAAUGAUUGGUAGGGGAACUGAGAGGUCAAUCCCCCCCACUGGCACUGAGAUACGGGCCAGACUCCUACGGGAGGCAGCAGUAGGGAAUAUUGAGCAAUGGACGCAAGUCUGACCCAGCCAUGCCGCGUGCAGGAUGAAGGCGUUAUGCGUUGUAAACUGCUUUUAUACAGGAAGAAACGACUCUUGCGAGAGGCAUUGACGGUACUGUAUGAAUAAGCACCGGCUAACUCCGUGCCAGCAGCCGCCGUAAAAC